rnacentral:rRNA from 1 species
UGUGGCCUACGGGACGCAGUAGUGAGGAAUAUUGGUCAAUGGGCGAGAGCCUGAACCAGCCAAGUCGCGUGAAGGAUGACGGCCCUACGGGUUGUAAACUUCUUUUGUCAGGGAGCAAUUGGGUCCACGUGUGGGCUUAGCGAGAGUACCUGAAGAAAAAGCAUCGGCUAACUCCGUGCCAGCAGCCGCGGUAAUACGGAGGAUGCGAGCGUUAUCCGGAUUUAUUGGGUUUAAAGGGUGCGUAGGCGGCAUAUCAAGUCAGCGGUAAAAAUUCGGGGCUCAACCCCGUCGU